GUCAGGUGCGGUGGCACAUGUCUGUAGUCCUAGCUACUCGGGAGGCUGAGGCUGGAGGAUCUCUUGAGUCCAGGAGUUCUGGGCUGUAGUGCACUAUGCCGAUCGGGUGUCCACACUAAGUUUGGCAUCAAUAUGGUGACCUCCCGGGAGCGGGGGACCACCAGGUUGCCUAAGGAGGGGUGAACCGGCUCAGGUCGGAAACAGAGCAGGUCAAAACUCCGGUGUGGAUCAGUAGUGGGAUAGCGCCUGUGAAUAGCCACUGCACUCCAGCCUGGGCAACAUAGCGAGACCCCGUCUAU
rnacentral:SRP_RNA from 1 species